GGUGCCGUUGAUACUGUGAGGCUAGGAUUUGGUUGCUGUGGGUGGAAUGUGUGGUGUAGCGGUGAAAUGCUUAGAGAUCACACAGAAUAUCGAUUGCGAAGGCAGCUCACAAAGCCAAGAUUGACGCUGAGGCACGAAAGUGUGGGGAUCAAACAGGAUUAGAUACCCUGGUAGUCCACACUGUAAACGAUGAUAACUCGCUGUCGGCGAUAUACAGUCGGUGGCCAAGCGAAAGCGAUAAGUUAUCCACCUGGGGAGUACGACCGCAAGGUUGAAACUCAAAGGAAUUGACGGGGGCCCGCACAAGCGGAGGAACAUGUGGUUUAAUUCGAUGAUACGCGAGGAACCUUACCUGGGCUUGAAAGGGGAUCGACCUCCCGGGAAACCGGGAUUCUCUUCGGAGCGGUCUCCUAGGUGCUGCAUGGUUGUCGUCAGCUCGUGCCGUGAGGUGUCGGGUUAAGUCCCAUAACGAGCGCAACCCUCAUUGUUAGUUACCAUCAAGUAAAGUUGGGGACUCUAACGAGACUGCCGGCGUAAGCCGUGAGGAAGGUGGGGAUGACGUCAAAUCAGCACGGCCUUUAUGUCCAGGGCUACACACGUGUCACAAUGGCCAAUACAGAGGGCAGCAAUACCGUAAGGUGGAGCAAAUCCUAAAAGUUGGUCUUAGUUCGGAUCGGAGUCUGCAACUCGA
rnacentral:rRNA from 1 species